UUUAUACUAGUCCGGGCUCUCCUAAAAGAUAAUACCCGUCCGUGGCUUCUUUUUUAUAUUUGUCUGUGCCCCCUUAGGGGCAUCUCCCCUCCCUUUUAUAGUCGAAGGAAGGGGUUAGUUACAAGAAAAAUGAAUAUAGAUCUCCUCCUAGAUUACCGGAUCUAUCUCUAUCUACAACUCCUUAUAUCUCGAGUGUUGUUGUUAAAAUGCAAAAUAUUCAGAUAAGACCUCCUUAUCACCCAAUCUUCUCUCCAAUGUAGGAUUCUAGACACUCAAGUCUGAGUCCGAACCCUAGAGGAAUCCGAGUCCGAGUUACUGAAAGGAUCUGAUCCACGAGCAGAACCGAGUUGGGCCCAUAGUCUUGCUUCUCGAAUUGCUUGAGUGCUUGGGGUACCCCCGAUACAUAUCAUUCACGGUGUAUGUAUAUACUCUAGUCAUAAUAAUAAAUUUGAAAUGAAGCAACAGUUUAAAUUGUUUUGCAGCAAACAAAUGUAAAUAAGGACAUUGACUGAUACCUUAACAAAAAGAAGAAGAAUUUACCGUUGGUAAUGAUAAUGACAUAAGAUACGAAAAAAAUCAUUGAUAAUGUACCAAUAAAAAUCUGAUAAACAAAAAAACAUAUAUCAAUAAUGACAUUU
rnacentral:lncRNA from 1 species